AAGUCGUAACAAGGUUUCCGUAGGUGAACCUGCGGAAGGAUCAUCAACAAAAGGGAAAAAGGCGUGGCGGGCGCAAGCUCGUUUCACGUCCUGCUCCCGAAAUCCUGUAUUCACCCCAAGUUCCUUCAAAAUUUCAAUAAAAAACUCUGCAAAAAGACCACGUUUUUAAAGUGGCAUCUAAUUGCACAAAGCGAAAACUUUCAACAACGGAUCUCUUGGCUCUC
rnacentral:misc_RNA from 1 species